rnacentral:rRNA from 1 species
GACGAACGCUGGCGGCGUGCUUAACACAUGCAAGUCGAACGAUGAAGAAGAGCUUGCUCUUCGGAUUAGUGGCGAACGGGUGAGUAACACGUGACUAACCUGCCCCUUUCUCUGGGAUAACGCUCCGAAAGGAGUGCUAAUACCGGAUACUCACAUCGAGGCACAUGCCUUGAUGUGGAAAGUUUUUCGGAAAGGGAUGGAGUCGCGGCCUAUCAGCUUGUUGGUGAGGUAACGGCUCACCAAGGCGACGACGGGUAGCCGGCCUGAGAGGGCGAACGGCCAAACUGGGACUGAGACACGGCCCAGACUCCUACGGGAGGCAGCAGUGGGGAAUAUUGCACAAUGGGCGAAAGCCUGAUGCAGCGACGCCGCGUGAGGGAUGAAGGUCUUCGGAUUGUAAACCUCUUUCAGUAGGGACGAAGCGAAAGUGACGGUACCUAAAGAAGAAGCACCGGCUAACUACGUGCCAGCCGCCGCAGUAA